rnacentral:misc_RNA from 1 species
AAGAGCGGCAUCCUAGUUAGGCGUCCACACUUAUCGGUUUGUUUGAUGUUACAGCCAAGGGUCUGUAGCUCAGGUGGUUAGAGCACCGUCUUGAUAAGGCGGGGGUCGUAGGUUCAAGUCCUACCAGACCCACCAAGUUACAGGCGGCGGAGAGCGAUCUUGCCGUGAAUUGGGGGAUUAGCUCAGCUGGGAGAGCACCUGCUUUGCAAGCAGGGGGUCGUCGGUUCGAUCCCGUCAUCCUCCACCAACACCUUGUGGUUGCCAAACGCAAGCAUCGAGCGAUCGGUGUUUGCGUUUGGCAUUGCCAAGACGAGUAGUAACUCGGCUGUUCUUUAACAAUAUGGAAUGUAGUAAAGGUGUCGCGGCGCGUUGAUGAGACGCGCGGUAAUAAACGCGACACUGGGUUGUGAUUGUAUCAACCAGUAUUACGAGAGCAAUCGAAAGAUUGUCUUGGAAUACGGCACAACGCGAGAACUCAGCCUAUAGCGAGACAUACUCGUUAUAGGGUC